AACGAACGCUGGCGGCAUGCCUAACACAUGCAAGUCGAACGAGACCUUCGGGUCUAGUGGCGCACGGGUGCGUAACGCGUGGGAACCUGCCCUUAGGUUCGGAAGAACUCCCCGAAAGGGGUGCUAAUACCGGAUAAUGUCUUCGGACCAAAGUUUUAUCGCCUUUGGGUGGUCCGCGGUGGAUUCGCUAGUUGGUAGGGUAAAAGCCUACCAAGUCGACGAUGCAUAGCUGGUCUGUGAGGAUGAUCAGCCACACUGGGACUGAGACACGGCCCAGACUCCUACGGGAGGCAGCAGUGGGGAAUAUUGGACAGUGGGCGAAAGCCUGAUCCAGCACUGCCUCGUGAGUGAUGAAGGCCUUAGGGUUGUAAAGCUCUUUUACCCGGGAUGAUAAUGACAGUACCGGCAGAAUAAGCUCCGGCUAACUCCGUG
rnacentral:rRNA from 1 species